UACGUAGGGGGCAAGCGUUGUCCGGAAUCAUUGGGCGUAAAGCGCGUGUAGGCGGUCCGGUAAGUCGGCUGUGAAAGUCCAGGGCUCAACCCUGGGAUGCCGGUCGAUACUGCCGGACUAGAGUUCGGAAGAGGCGAGUGGAAUUCCCGGUGUAGCGGUGAAAUGCGCAGAUAUCGGGAAGAACACCCGUGGCGAAGGCGGUUCUCUGGGACGGUACUGACGCUGAGACGCGAAAGCGUGGGGAGCGAACAGG
rnacentral:rRNA from 1 species